CACCGGACGCCAACUCUUUUGCCUCACAGCUAUGAGGUCACUUUUUCAGUUUCAUUUGCAUAGAUUUGGCUAAAACAAAAAAAGUCAUGCACACGAUAUUAUUUGAAUUUGCCGGUUUGUUUUUGUUCGUUUUACUUUGACACAGGAAUGAUCCUGAGCCAGAUGGACAAGUGACAAAGUCAGGGCCGUGUUGAGCGUUAAUGCUGCAAAUAAAAUCCUGCAAUGAUAGCCGUUAAGGACGCACUCACACCAUACCAUGCUCGUACCAUGCCAAAGCACGCUUCACCCUCAAAGUCCAGUUCGUUUGAGUAGUGUGAGUGCUCCGUUCUGCGCUCAUGCUCAGUACACUUCCUUGGCCCUGGUACUGUUGGAAGAGGUGUGCUUCUGCACGGUACACAGCAUGGACGUAAAGUAAAAUCGAUCCCCGCCUCCAUUAUGGAGAUAUCCCUGAGUGUUCUGUAUCUGACUAACAUGACUCAAAAUAAGCCACAAAGUCAGUAAAGUGGGGGGUGGGGCAUUCCUCCUUCGACACGGUACGGGGCAACCAGGGCUAGUGUGCGUGCACCCUAAGUCAUGCUGUAAAGUGAAGUGCAAAAAUAAGUAAAAACAGCCUUCACUUCCUUUCUGCAGCAAUGAGUUUGUCUUUUCUUUGUAUGUAUUUUACACCAGCUUGAAACACAAACAAGAAGCAGACGAAACCUUUAAGUUCCUUGAUUAUCAGUACCUGAGAUUAGAAGGUUCUUUGUUCUUUUAGUGGAAACGUGGCUUAAACUAGAAACAGGAUUCAAACCCUCCCGAGUUUUUAUGUAGCACACACAAGAAGCAUCUUUUGAACAUGCAUACAGUUUUCAUCAUCUGCAGCCCCCUUUGCCAACCACUGAGCUUUAUGCUGGUACAAGACUACAGCCUAACAUGAAACUACAAUACCUAGGCUGCAUCACUACGGAGGUCUCAAGACUUCUGACAUUUUUUUUUCUCUCUCGCUUUGGUGAGGUGCUUUGUGCACCAUGUUACUUGUAAUAUAGACGGUCAGAUUUCUGGGUUCUAUUUUCUGUAAUGGGACAACCUGGACUCUUUACACUCUCAAAGAUAACGAGUAGAGCUCCUGUUGACAGCUGUGGAGCUCUGAUCUCGUUGGUUAACUUUAGGUAGGUGGGUGGGCGGGUGGGAUCUUGGGUACAAAAUUAGGGGUUUAACUCAAAAUGCAUGUCACAGCUUUUUUGCAUGAGGAAUGUGCCUGCUUUUGAGCUGUCGAGGGCAGACGGGACUAUGGGAUGAGACAAAGCGCCCUAUCGGAGGCUGCUGGGGUCAGACAUGUUUUAUUAACAACUGCUGUUACAUAAAAACUUUACCAGGAUUACAAAAUGUAUGACAAUAAAGAAGUGUUGUUUUAUAAGA